GAGUUUGAUCUUGGCUCAGGAUGAACGCUAGCGACAGGCUUAACACAUGCAAGUCGAGGGGCAGCGGGGAGUAGCAAUACUUCGCCGGCGACCGGCGCACGGGUGAGUAACACGUGUGCAACCAACCCCGUACCGGGAGAUAACCCGCGGAAACGUGGACUAACAUCCCAUGAUACUCGAGAGCCGCAUGGCUCUCGAUUUAAAAUUCCGGUGGUACGGGACGGGCACGCGCGACAUUAGGUAGUUGGCGGGGUAAUGGCCCACCAAGCCGACGAUGUCUAGGGGUUCUGAGAGGAACGGUCCCCCACACUGGAACUGAGACACGGUCCAGACUCCUACGGGAGGCAGCAGUGAGGAAUAUU
rnacentral:rRNA from 1 species